rnacentral:tRNA from 1 species
UGGCCGGUAGCCAAGUGGUAAGGCACCGGGUUUUGAUCCCGGCAUUCGCAGGUUCGAACCCUGCCCGGCCAGCCA